AAGUCAUGGGAUUAUUAAAACCUAUAGGCGAAAUGAGAUUAACUUGAGUUUAAUGGGAUUACAAAUGGUAUUAAUCAUACUAUUUUUCCAUCCCCGGGUAUCUUAAUCGGUAAGUACUGUGAUCCUUCGGUUGCGUCGUACUACAAAGAUAUACCGUGAGCAUACAAGCUGUGACCCGAAAGAUGGUGAACUAUGCCUGAUCAGGUUGAAGUCAGGGGAAACCCUGAUGGAAGACCGUAGCAAUUCUGACGUGCAAAUCGAUUGUCAGAGUUGGGUAUAGGGGCGAAAGACCAAUCGAACCAUCUAGUAGCUGGUUCCUUCCGAA
rnacentral:rRNA from 1 species